rnacentral:rRNA from 1 species
AUUGAACGCUGGCGGCAGGCCUAACACAUGCAAGUCGAACGGUAACAGGAAGAAGCUUGCUUCUUUGCUGACGAGUGGCGGACGGGUGAGUAAUGUCUGGGAAACUGCCUGAUGGAGGGGGAUAACUACUGGAAACGGUAGCUAAUACCGCAUAACGUCGCAAGACCAAAAAGGGGGACCUUCGGGCCUCUUGCCAUCGGAUGUGCCCAGAUGGGAUUAGCUAGUAGGUGGGGUAACGGCUCACCUAGGCGACGAUCCCUAGCUGGUCUGAGAGGAUGACCAGCCACACUGGAACUGAGACACGGUCCAGACUCCUACGGGAGGCAGCAGUGGGGAAUAUUGCACAAUGGGCGCAAGCCUGAUGCAGCCAUGCCGCGUGUAUGAAGAAGGCCUUCGGGUUGGAAAGUACUUUCAGCGGGGAGGAAGGGAGUAAAGUUAAUACCUUUGCUCAUUGACGUUACCCGCAGAAGAAGCACCGGCUAACUCCGUG